UUAUAAAUAGCAUAAUAAAGUGCAUAUGGUUUCGGCCCAUGGUUUAGAGGUAUAUAUUCCUUUUUUAUAAA
rnacentral:tRNA from 1 species